UAGGGAAUCUUCCGCAAUGGACGAAAGUCUGACGGAGCAACGCCGCGUGAGUGAAGAAGGAUUUCGGUUCGUAAAACUCUGUUGUUAGGGAAGAAAAAAUGUAUAGUAACUAUAUACAAAAGAGACGGUACCUAACCAGAAAGCCACGGCUAACUACGUGCCAGCAGCCGCGGUAAUACGUAGGUCCCGAGCGUUGUCCGGAAUUAUUGGGCGUAAAGCGCGCGCAGGUGGUUUAGAAAGUCUGAUGUGAAAGCCCACGGCUCAACCGUGGAGGGUCAUUGGAAACUAAUAAACUUGAGUGCAGGAGAGAAAAGUGGAAUUCCUAGUGUAGCGGUGAAAUGCGUAGAGAUUAGGAGGAACACCGGUGGCGAAAGCGGCUUUUUGGCCUGCAACUGACACUGAGGCGCGAAAGCGUGGGGAGCAAACAGG
rnacentral:rRNA from 1 species